GGAGGCAAAUGAUGAUAAACAAAAAACUUAUACUACACACUGAAAAUGAAUGAAGACAAAUAACUCUCAAUUAAUUUUCUGAUGCCUCC
rfam:Nicotiana sylvestris Nsyl_contig135150, whole genome shotgun sequence.